rnacentral:rRNA from 1 species
UGAAUACGAGACGCUACGGCGUCGAAGCAGUCGAUGUCAUACUUCCAAGAAAAGCUUGCAAUGUCAUAAACAAAUAAUGCCUGUACCAUAACCGACACAGGUGGGUAGGUAGAGUAUACUAAGGGGCGCGAGAUAACUCUCUCUAAGGAACUCGGCAAAAUGACUCCGUAACUUCGGGAGAAGGAGUGCCUUAUUUAUAAGGUUGCAAUAACAAGAUCCAAGCAACUGUUUAUCAAAAACACAGGUCUCCGCUAAGUCGUAAGACGAUGUAUGGGGGCUGACGCCUGCCCAGUGCCAGAAGGUUAAAGAAGUUGGUUAGCAUCCGCGAAGCUGAUAACUGAAGCCCUGGUGAACGGCGGCCGUAACUAUAACGGUCCUAAGGUAGCGAAAUUCCUUGUCGGGUAAGUUCCGACCCGCACGAAAGGCGUAAUGAUUUGGAUACUGUCUCGGAGAGGGACUCGGUGAAAUAGACUUGUCUGUGAAGAUGCGGACUACCUGCACCUGGACAGAAAGACCCUAUGAAGCUUUACUGUAACUUGAAAUUGAAAUUGGACUUUAUUUGCGCAGUAUAGGUGGGAGGCGUUGAGAAUAUUCUUGCGGGAAUAUUGGAGCCAUCAGUGAGAUACCACUCUUGUAAUGUUAGAUUUCUAACUUUGCAUCAUUAUCUGGUCAAAGAACAGUUUCAGGCGGGCAGUUUGACUGGGGCGGUCGCCUCCCAAACGGUAACGGAGGCGUACAAAGGUUUCCUCUGAACGGGUAGAAAUCGUAUCUAGAGUGUAAAGGCAUAAGGAAGCUUGACUGUGAGACCUACAAGUCGAGCAGGGACGAAAGUCGGUCUUAGUGAUCUGACGGUGCUGAUUGGAAAGGCCGUCACUCAACGGAUAAAAGUUACUCUAGGAUAACAGGCUGAUCUCCCCCAAGAGUUCACAUCGACGGGGAGGUUUGGCACCUCGAUGUCGGCUCAUCGCAUCCUGGGGCGGUAGUACGUCCCAAGGGUUGGGCUGUUCGCCCAUGAAAGCGGUACGCGAGCUGGGUUCAGAACGUCGUGAGACAGUUCGGUCCAUAUCCGGUGUAGGCGUUAGAAUAUUGAGAGGAGCCUUCUUUAGUACGAGAGGACCGAGAAGGACAUACCUCUGGUGUACCAGUUAUCGUGCCAACGGUAAACGCUGGGUAGCUAUGUAUGGAGAGGAUAACCGCUGAAAGCAUCUAAGUGGGAAGCCCACCUCAAGAUAAGUAUUCC